rnacentral:rRNA from 1 species
GACGAACGCUGGCGGCGUGCUUAACACAUGCAAGUCGAACGGAAAGGCCCUGCUUUUGUGGGGUGCUCGAGUGGCGAACGGGUGAGUAACACGUGAGUAACCUGCCCUUGACUUUGGGAUAACUUCAGGAAACUGGGGCUAAUACCGGAUAGGAGCUCCUGCUGCAUGGUGGGGGUUGGAAAGUUUCGGCGGUUGGGGAUGGACUCGCGGCUUAUCAGCUUGUUGGUGGGGUAGUGGCUUACCAAGGCUUUGACGGGUAGCCGGCCUGAGAGGGUGACCGGCCACAUUGGGACUGAGAUACGGCCCAGACUCCUACGGGAGGCAGCAGUGGGGAAUAUUGCACAAUGGGCGGAAGCCUGAUGCAGCAACGCCGCAUGCGGGAUGACGGCCUUCGGGUUGUAAACCGCUUUCGCCUGUGACGAAGCGUGGGUGACGGUAAUGGGUAAAGAAGCACCGGCUAACUACGUG